GAUGAACGCUGGCGGCGUGCCUAAUACAUGCAGGUCGAGCGAACGGACGAGAAGCUUGCUUCUCUGAUGUUAGCGGCGGACGGGUGAGUAACACGUGGAUAACCUACCUAUAAGACUGGGAUAACUUCGGGAAACCGGAGCUAAUACCGGAUGAUAUUUUGAACCGCAUGGUUCAAAAGUGAAAGACGGUCUUGCUGUCACUUAUAGAUGGAUCCGCGCUGCAUUAGCUAGUUGGUAAGGUAACGGCUUACCAAGGCAACGAUGCAUAGCCGACCUGAGAGGGUGAUCGGCCACACUGGAACUGGGACACGGUCCAGACUCCUACGGGAGGCAGCAGUAGGGAAUCUUCCGCAAUGGGCGAAAGCCUGACGGAGCAACGCCGCGUGAGUGAUGAAGGUCUUCGGAUCGUAAAACUCUGUUAUUAGGGAAGAACAUAUGUGUAAGUAACUGUGCACAUCUUGACGGUACCUAAUCAGAAAGCCACGGCUAACUACGUG
rnacentral:rRNA from 1 species